CCCAGACAACCAUCCAAGAGUCACAAUUGCCUCCAAAGCGAUUGUUACAUAUUUUUAGUGCAAGAUACAAUGACAGAGAAACGCUUUGACUGAGAACUGGUGCCAAGUAGCCCUGUGUGCUUCAAUUUUUUGUUUGUUUACCUUAUCCAUAUGCAUGCAUGUCUGUCUCCCCUCCCUUGUUCUGUCUUGUUCCUCGCUGCAUGUAGCUCAUGUGACCUCAGCAAUGUUAAUAUCUCUGAGGAAAUGGCCAAAAGCGGGGCAUGCAAAGCAGUGGCGUUGAGCGCCGACUUCGGCCCGUCUAUGAAGCGUAGCCAAAGCCAGGAGAAGGUAGCCUGUGUUAGAGUCAACAUGGACACUACCGAGGCAGGAGGAGAGAGUUCAGCCUUAGAGACUGCCUUGUGAUGGAGGAGACCUUGUCCUACCCCCCACCUAACACCACAGAGGGCCACCCUGGUACAGUGAGCAAGCUAGGACUUGAGCAGAGCAAUCAGACUGGUCUCUGGAAAAUAAGCCCCUUUUGUGGGUCUGCUGGGUCAACAGUUGAGCUCCAGUGACCUCCAGUGGUCCAGUGUAGCUAUGGGGGUCUUGAGGCCCCCCCAGUGCACAGAGGACUGACUGCCCUGUAGUGGCGAGCACAUUGCCGGGACAUGAAUGAACCAGACUCACACUGCCUACCGAAACCCCAUGUCAACCAAUCAUUUCCCACCCACUGCCACAGAUGCCAAAGGAUGGGGCCACCACCAUCACACAUAUGCGGAAUCUUCUUUAAUUGUUGUGUAUGCGUAAAUUUACUUAAUUGUAUUAUAUAAGGUAUAUUUUCUCAUGUACAUUUUAAGUUAUAUUUUAUUACCAAUUAAGAGAAACACAUUUGCAUCCUGUUUUUUUUGGCACACGUCAUGUGUGAGCUAUUCUGGUCUGUCGAAAAAAAAAAAAUAUAUAUAUAUAUAUAUCCUUUCCACAAUGUACUAAACACAAACCAGCUACACCAGCUCCAAAAACAGAUGUCAGUCAAGCCAUGAUGAUUCAAGUUGUUAUUGCUGUGAUUUCAUCAGUGCAAACUGGUUACAUCAUGACUAGACACUGGUCAUCUAAAUCUAAACUGUUGCAAACCAAAAGAAGAAUGUAGACAUUCAGACGCCUAUAGCCCAUAAUCUUUCUUGCUUGUGAAACAUUGACAAAGGUUGGAGUGGCAACAUCUUUUCACUGCCCCUGUACUGUAUCUGUACUGUAUCUGUACUGUAUACUCUGCAAGUUACAUUCUCAGUAUUGGUAUUGCUGCUCAGAUCAAGUUGUUCAACUGAGAAUAUUUUUUUUGUAAGUAUAUGUCAUUGUUAUGCUGUUUUAGUGGAAUUGUGUGCUUUCUGUUGUAUGUUUUAAUGGAACAUUUUCUGAAAUACUAAUUUAAGGUUAAGAAAGUGAUGGGAUGAAUACUACAAUAAGCACUUUAGAUUUGUUUGCCUGUAGGAAUUAGUGCACAGGCCUGAAUUGAGUUAAAAACCAUUGAAUCUGAAGAUCCACAGAACUGUUGCUCAAAUGUCUAGAAAAAGUUACAACUUUGGAAUCAACAUGAUUUCUGAUUGUGGGAAGUUCUUUACACUCAUCACUUGUCUGUCACUAUUCGUACAGUAUUUCAAUAUUAUAACCUAUUUGUGUAUUGUUGGAUUUAUUAUUCUUGGGACAAUUAUUUUUUGAUAAAUAGGAAAGUGAACAAAAAAGUCAUGUGCCGUCAGAUUUCUUCUAAAAGCAAUGAACAACAUUAUUCGGUGCAGUCAAAUUGUAUUCUCACAAUAUUGUACAAUUUAUGCUGUACAAGUUUUGAUACUUGUGAGUCACAAUGUACACCGUAUCAGUAAGUUCAAUAUUGCAGAUGUCAUUUCAAAAAAUGAUCUGUAAAAUGCAAUUAUAUAUUUCUCAUUUGCUUAGCACACAUGCUCCUGUUUUAGCAAUAAUAGACGAGUUUUCAGUACAAUACAAUGUCUGGAGUGAUGUUUCUAUUGAGCUGUCUAGGGGGAGUUUGUCGAACCCCAUCCACGUUGUGUGUCUCCUCUAUUGACUAUUAGUGUGUAGCUGAUUAUACAGACAAUAGCUUACGUGCCUUGUGAAUGCUCUUUGUUUGUCUUUUAUUCAUACUGUAGGCAUAGUGUUAAUGUUCAGGUAGUACACACACACACACACACACACGGCCCAAAAUGCGUAAGAGAGACGAGCAAGCUAGGACGGCAUAUCGACAGGCUGUUCAUAUCUGUUGAAACUGAAGUGAAAUAUGAAUGCGGUAGUGCUCUGAAUGUCCUCAACCCAACCCGACAACUAACCUGAUGUAUUACAUGACAAAUAUGUACUCAUUAGUACUUCAUCAUACUCAUUUUUGUCAAUAAUGUACUGUAUGUGUUUGUAUGUCACAGAUGUAGUGUUUGUUCACGAAUGGUAUGCACUGUCAUUUUUUUACAUGCAAUAUCAGUGAAUGUGCACAGAAUUAUUGUAACUUCAAUAUCACUAAUGAAAAUUACAGAAAUCGAAUGCAUUUCGCCAAACACAUUUCUUUUAACAAAAAUGUAAAUGUGCAUUGUUGCAAUUUUUGUUUGAACACAAUUCUGGUAAAAUGUUGGCUAUUUUAAGUCAUUACAAAUGUUGUUUUGGUAUUUGUAAUACUAUAUGUAUGCAG
rnacentral:lncRNA from 1 species